CAGCGCAGAAGAUGUCGAAUGAAGAGAGUUUCCAGUGCAGAAACCUUCUCAAGCGCAUGGUCAAAUGCUGGAACGAAGACCGUGGUUGCGACGUUGUUUUGCCUGCAUCGGAACUCAACAAACACUUUUGCAAG